rnacentral:rRNA from 1 species
GACGAACGCUGGCGGCGUGCCUAAUACAUGCAAGUCGAACGAACCGCGACUAGGUGCUUGCACUUGGUCAAGGUGAGUGGCGAACGGGUGAGUAACACGUGGGUAACCUACCUCAUAGUGGGGGAUAACAGUCGGAAACGACUGCUAAUACCGCAUAAGACAUAGGAUCACAUGAUCCAGUGAGGAAAGGUGGCGCAAGCUAUCGCUAAGAGAUGGACCCGCGGUGCAUUAGCUAGUUGGUAGGGUAAAGGCCUACCAAGGCGAUGAUGCAUAGCCGACCUGAGAGGGUGAUCGGCCACAUUGGGACUGAGACACGGCCCAAACUCCUACGGGAGGCAGCAGUAGGGAAUCUUCCGCAAUGGACGCAAGUCUGACGGAGCAACGCCGCGUGAGUGAAGAAGGUCUUCGGAUCGUAAAGCUCUGUUGUUAGAGAAGAACAGCGCAUAGAGUAACUGUUAUGCGUGUGACGGUAUCUAACCAGAAAGCCACGGCUAACUACGUG